UAAUACGAAGGGACCUAGCGUAGUUCGGAAUUACUGGGCUUAAAGAGUUCGUAGGUGGUUGAAAAAGUCGGUGGUGAAAUCCCAGAGCUUAACUCUGGAACUGCCAUCAAAACUUUUCAGCUAGAGUAUGAUAGAGGAAAGCAGAAUUUCUAGUGUAGAGGUGAAAUUCGUAGAUAUUAGAAAGAAUACCAAUUGCGAAGGCAGCUUUCUGGAUCAUUACUGACACUGAGGAACGAAAGCAUGGGUAGCGAAGAGGAUUAGAUACCCUCGUAGUCCAUGCCGUAAACGAUGUGUGUUAGACGUUGGAAAUUUAUUUUCAGUGUCGCAGCGAAAGCGAUAAACACACCGCCUGGGGAGUACGACCGCAAGGUUAAAACUCAAAUGAAUUGACGGGGACCCGCACAAGUAGUGGAGCAUGUGGUUUAAUUCGAAGAUACGCGCAGAACCUUACCAACACUUGACAUGUUCGUCGCGACUUUAAGAGAUUAAAGUUUUCGGUUCGGCCGGACGAAACACAGGUGCUGCAUGGCUGUCGUCAGCUCGUGUCGUGAGAUGUUGGGUUAAGUCCCGCAACGAGCGCAACCCUCACUUUUAGUUGCCAUCAUUAAGUUGGGCACUCUGAAAGAACUGCCAGUGAUAAGCUGGAGGAAGGUGGGGAUGACGUCAAGUCCUCAUGGCCCUUACGUGUUGGGCUACACACGUGCUACAAUGGUAUCUACAACAGGAAGCAAGACUGCGAAGUUAAGCAAAUCCUUAAAAGAUACCUCAGUUCGGAUUGCACUCUGCAACUCGAGUGCAUGAAGCUGGAAUUACUAGUAAUCGUGGAUCAGCGUGCCACGGUGAAUGCGUUCCCGGGUCUUGUACACACCGCCCGUCACACCAUGGGAGUUGGUUCUACCUUAAGGCAAGGUUUAAAACCCUUGACCACGGUAUAGUCAGCGACUGGGGUGAAGUCGUAACAAGGUAACCG
rnacentral:rRNA from 1 species